GGUCAACUGGGCAAAUGUUACAUCUGGGAAAUGCCUGCACAGAGGUGUGUUAGCUGAGAUUCAAAGCUCCUGAAAGCAUCAAAACAUGUUUUUUGUGACAGUCUGUUCCUGCCGUGGAAUACAGGAGGAAGGAAGGAAGGGAGAGCGGGAGCUCAAGGCAAGAUGCUCAGUUGCGGAAAUGCGGCUGCUGGAUUGAGGAGAAAUGGAGGAAAUUGAGAAUUUUACAGUAUACGAUCAUAUGAAGAAUCUGCUGAGGUGCUGCUCGGUCAAUCAACAAAGUCCAGUCUGUAUUAAUCAAGACAACGCACCCGCCCACACUCAUCCCGUGAAAUUAUUUCCCAAGUAUCAAUCUCAGAAAACAUAAGUUUGACAGAGAUCUUUGACAUGUGACAAAACGCAUUCUGCUUCACACAGAAUUAUUUAAUUAAAACCUAAACACUGAUUGUGAAUAGUGCGACUCAAUAAUGCCCUUUUAAUGCUGUUUUUAUAAUCCUUAAUGAGCAUUAUAAAGUUGUGAGAUUUAUAGAAAUGUUAUGUUGUAAGUUAAUUUGGGGAUAAUGUCAUUAAACCAACCAAUAUUUGGCGUACACAAUAAUAAACUGAAUAAAUUAGUAUAAAUCAAUCAUAUUAGCGUAUGCAACUAAUCAUUUUAUCAGCUUUAUGC
ensembl:lncRNA